ACAGACAGACAGACAGGUUACAGACAGACAGGUUACAGACAGACAGGUUACAGACAGACAGACAGGUUACAGACAGACAGACAGACAGACAGGUUACAGACAGACAGGUUACAGACAGGUUACAGACAGACAGACAGGUUACAGACAGACAGGUUACAGACAGACAGACAGGUUACAGACAGGUUACAGACAGACAGACAGGUUACAGACAGACAGGUUACAGACAGACAGACAGGUUACAGACAGACCUACCCCAGCUGGAGGCCGUCCUCCCCAGCAGUUCGUGGGUCCGCGGGUUCCAGAAGAAUUCCCGCCAC